UACGGAAGGCAGCAGUGGGGAAUAUUGCACAAUGGGCGAAAGCCUGAUGCAGCUAUGCCGCGUGUAUGAAGAAGGCCUUAGGGUUGUAAAGUACUUUCAUCGGGGAGGAAAAACAAAACUAAUAAUUUUAUUUCUUGACGUUACCCGAAAAAGAAGCACCGGCUAACUCCGUGCCAGCAGCCGCGGUAAUACGGAGGGUGCUAGCGUUAAUCAGAAUUACUGGGCGUAAAGAGCACGUAGGUGGUUUUUUUAAAGUCAGAUGUGAAAUCCCUGGGCUUAACCUAGGAACUGCAUUUUGAAACUGAAAUACUAGAGUAUCGUAGAGGGAGGUAGAAUUCUAGGUGUAGCGGUGAAAUGCGUAGAUAUCUGGAGGAAUACCUGUGGCGAAAGCGGCCUCCUAAACGAAUACUGACACUGAGGUGCGAAAGCGUGGGGAGCGAAACAGGGAUUAGGAUA
rnacentral:rRNA from 1 species